rnacentral:rRNA from 1 species
GAUGAACGCUGGCGGCGUGCCUAAUACAUGCAAGUCGAGCGAACAGACGAGGAGCUUGCUCCUCUGACGUUAGCGGCGGACGGGUGAGUGACACGUGGAUAACCUACCUAUAAGACUGGGAUAACUUCGGGAAACCGGAGCUAAUACCGGAUAAUAUAUUGAACCGCAUGGUUCAAUAGUGAAAGACGGUUUUGCUGUCACUUAUAGAUGGAUCCGCGCCGCAUUAGCUAGUUGGUAAGGUAACGGCUUACCAAGGCGACGAUGCGUAGCCGACCUGAGAGGGUGAUCGGCCACACUGGAACUGAGACACGGUCCAGACUCCUACGGGAGGCAGCAGUAGGGAAUCUUCCGCAAAGGGCGAAAGCCUGACGGAGCAACGCCGCGUGAGUGAUGAAGGUCUUCGGAUCGUAAAACUCUGUUAUUAGGGAAGAACAAAUGUGUAAGUAACUAUGCACGUCUUGACGGUACCUAAUCAGAAAGCCACGGCUAACUACGUG